GACAGAGGUGCCAAGCGUUAGGCGGAAUCACUGGGCUUAAAGCGUGUGUAGGCGGAUCGUUAAGUACCUUGUGAAAUCCCACGGCUCAACCGUGGAACUGCUGGGUAUACUGGCGAUCUUGAGCCACCUAGGGGCGAGCGGAACAAGCGGUGGAGCGGUGAAACGCGUAGAUAUCGCUUGGAACGCCAAUGGUGAAAACAGCUCGCUGGGGGUGUGCUGACGCUGAGACACGAAAGCCAGGGGAGCGAACGGG
rnacentral:rRNA from 1 species